rnacentral:rRNA from 1 species
GACGAAGGAUGCAAGCGUUAUCCGGAUUCAUUGGGUUUAAAGGGAGCGUAGGUGGCCUGAUAAGUCAGUGGUGAAAUCUCUCGGCUUAACCGAGAAAUUGCCAUUGAUACUGUUAGGCUUGAGUAUAGUUGCCGUUGGCGGAAUAUGACAUGUAGUGGUGAAAUACAUAGAGAUGUCAUAGAACACCGAUUGCGAAGGCAGCUAACGAAACUAUAACUGACACUGAGGCUCGAAAGUGCGGGGAUCAAACAGG